rnacentral:rRNA from 1 species
CGCGUAGGCGGGGAGGUAAGUCGGGUGUGAAAUCCCUCGGCCCAACCGAGGAACUGCGCCCGAGACUGCUUCUCUUGAGUCCCGGAGAGGAAGAUGGAAUUCCCGGUGUAGCGGUGAAAUGUGUAGAGAUCGGGAGGAACACCGGUGGCGAAGGCGGUCUUCUGGACGGUGACUGACGCUGAGGCGCGAAAGCGUGGGGAGCAAAACGG